CCUACGGGUGGCAGCAGUGAGGAAUAUUGGUCAAUGGACGAGAGUCUGAACCAGCCAAGUAGCGUGAAGGAUGACUGCCCUAUGGGUUGUAAACUUCUUUUAUCUGGGAAUAAAAUGUUCCACGUGUGGGAUUUUGUAUGUACCCUAUGAAUAAGGAUCGGCUAACUCCGUGCCAGCAGCCGCGGUAAUACGGAGGAUCCGAGCGUUAUCCGGAUUUCUUGGGUUUAAAGGGUGCGUAGGUGGAUUGUUAAGUCAGUUGUGAAAGUUGGCGGCUCAACCGUAAAAGUGCAGUUGAAACUGGCAGUCUUGAGUACAGUAGAGGUGGGCGGAAUGCGUGGUGUAGCGGUGAAAUGCUUAGAUAUCACGCAGAACUCCGAUUGCGAAGGCAGCUUACCGGACUGCAACUGACACUGAGGCUCGAAAGUGUGGGUAUCAAACAGGAUUAGAUACCCGAGUAGUC
rnacentral:rRNA from 1 species